rnacentral:misc_RNA from 1 species
GAUGAAGAACGCAGUGAAAUGCGAUAAGUAAUGCGAAUUGCAGAAUUUCCGUGAGUCAUCGAAUCUUUGAACGCACAUUGCGCCUGCCAGCACUCUGGCAGGCAUGCCUGUUCGAGCGUCAUUUCAACCAUCAAGCCCUAGGCUUGCGUUGGAGCCCUGCGGCUGCCGCAGGCCCCUAAAAGCAGUGGCGGGCUCGCUAUCACACCGAGUGCAGUAGAUUACUCUUCGCUCAGGGCGUGUGGCGGGUUCCAGCCGUGAAACCCCCUACUUCUCAAGGUUGACCUCGGAUCAGGUAGGAAUACCCGCUGAACUUAAGCAUAUCAAUAAGCGGAGGA